rnacentral:rRNA from 1 species
AGUGAACGCUGGCGGUAGGCCUAACACAUGCAAGUCGAACGGCAGCACAGAGGAGCUUGCUCCUUGGGUGGCGAGUGGCGGACGGGUGAGGAAUACAUCGGAAUCUACUCUGUCGUGGGGGAUAACGUAGGGAAACUUACGCUAAUACCGCAUACGACCUACGGGUGAAAGCGGGGGAUCUUCGGACCUUGCGCGAUUGAAUGAGCCGAUGUCGGAUUAGCUAGUUGGCGGGGUAAAGGCCCACCAAGGCGACGAUCCGUAGCUGGUCUGAGAGGAUGAUCAGCCACACUGGAACUGAGACACGGUCCAGACUCCUACGGAAGGCAGCAGUGGGGAAUAUUGGACAAUGGGCGCAAGCCUGAUCCAGCCAUACCGCGUGGGUGAAGAAGGCCUUCGGGUUGUAAAGCCCUUUUGUUGGGAAAGAAAUCCAUCUGGUUAAUACCCGGGUGGGAUGACGGUACCCAAAGAAUAAGCACCGGCUAACUUCGUGCCAGCCGCCGCGGUAA